GGGGAAUAUUGCACAAUGGGCGCAAGCCUGAUGCAGCGACGCCGCGUGGGGGAUGAAGGCCUUCGGGUUGUAAACUCCUUUCGCUAGGGACGAAGCUUUUUGUGACGGUACCUAGAUAAGAAGCACCGGCUAACUACGUGCCAGCAGCCGCGGUAAUACGUAGGGUGCGAGCGUUGUCCGGAAUUACUGGGCGUAAAGGGCUCGUAGGUGGUUUGUCGCGUCGUCUGUGAAAUUCUGGGGCUUAACUCCGGGCGUGCAGGCGAUACGGGCAUAACUUGAGUGCUGUAGGGGUAACUGGAAUUCCUGGUGUAGCGGUGAAAUGCGCAGAUAUCAGGAGGAACACCGAUGGCGAAGGCAGGUUACUGGGCAGUUACUGACGCUGAGGAGCGAAAGCAUGGGUAGCGAACAGGAUUAGAUACCCUGGUAGUCCAUGCCGUAAACGGUGGGCGCUAGGUGUGAGGGUCUUUCUACGACUUUCGUGCCGUAGCUAACGCAUUAAGCGCCCCGCCUGGGGAGUACGGCCGCAAGGCUA
rnacentral:rRNA from 1 species